GUGCUCACUUCAGCAGCAAAUAUACUAAAAUUGGAAUGAUACAGAGAAGAUUAGCAUGGCCCUGCAUAAGAUGACACCCACACUUUAUCAAUCCUAUCAUCCUUUU